UUCGAAGCAACGCGCAGAACCUUACCAGCUUUUGACAUGUCCGGUUUGAUCGGCAGAGAUGCCUUUCUUCAGUUCGGCUGGCCGGAACACAGGUGCUGCAUGGCUGUCGUCAGCUCGUGUCGUGAGAUGUUGGGUUAAGUCCCGCAACGAGCGCAACCCUCGCCCCUAGUUGCCAUCAUUCAGUUGGGAACUCUAGGGGGACUGCCGGUGAUAAGCCGCGAGGAAGGUGGGGAUGACGUCAAGUCCUCAUGGCCCUUACAGGCUGGGCUACACACGUGCUACAAUGGCGGUGACAAUGGGCAGCGAAGGAGCGAUCCGGUGCUAAUCCCAAAAAGCCGUCUCAGUUCAGAU
rnacentral:rRNA from 1 species